AUGCGCAUGCGCAGUGCCGGUCACUGGAUGUGGAGGAUGCUCUCACCUCAGGUGUACCGUCCGAUUGACAGAAAAACAAUGAUGGCGACCGCUGCCGAGGAAAUCAACCAGAGCUGUCCUCUCUCUGACAAUAACAGCACGUCUGUCUCUUUCAAAAUUGCCAGAAAAAAUCAGGACAGACCCUGGAAGUUGAGGUUUAUUUAUCUACAAUGCUAUUUUCUAUCUAUUGCAACUAUACUGGGGACAGGCAUCUUGGGUCUGCCAGUGUCAAUAGCACAAGCAGGAUUGCUGCCAUUCCUGGUGUCCUUCAUCAUUGGGUUCUUUAUGCAGGCUCUGCUCAUAUAUCUGUUUGUGGACUUGCUGCAACGAUGCAGGGUUAACCAGAUGGAAUCGUUCAAGACUACAGAGACUGAAAGGAUUUUAAUGGAAGAUGUCAGUGCACAGGAUUCUCCUGAGGUCUGCCCUGAAGAAGUGGAGGAAGGGGAUGAGGGAGAGGAGGCUGACACUGGCCUCCUACACAGACACUCCACAGCCCAAGAGCUGCAUGAGAAGCUGGAACCCAAUCUUCACAUCAUGGGUGUCCUCUUUCUCAGCAAGAACAUGAGUCGCUCCUUCAACUUCAUCCUCCUCUUUCAGUUCAUUUCUAUUGGAAUCAGCUAUGUCCUGGCAGGCAGUGAGGCCUACGCUGCUCUCUUUCACAUCAGCCACAUCUACGUCAUCCCGGCCUUCACGUGGAUACUGGCUCUGGGAAUCGUACUGGCUCAGUUUGUCAUCCAGCCAAUCACAUCACUGCUGACGCUGCUGAAAGGAAUCCUGCUCAUCAUCACUGUGGCGGUGACAUUUGUGGUGGGUUCAGAAGUUCACCAGGAGACCACGAACGACUUCAGCCAAAUUGGGAAGCCUUUCCUGAUGGGGACCGUUGCGCUGGGUGGGAUUGUCAACGUAAUGCCAUUCCUCUUCUCGGAAAUAUCUCAUAACAAGACACAGAUUCUGUGGUUCCGAAGAAUGAUACUGGGAGGCCUAACAACAUGUACUGUUCUAAAUAUAUUGUGGUGCUGGGCAGUGCUGGAGAUCGUUCCUCAGAUGUCAGUGCGCAGUGUGGAGGAAGGAGGAGAAUUCAACUCCAGCGGCAUCCUGACGCAGACACGGGGUCUACCGGCAACACACACAUUUAUCUACUCCAACAUCUCUCUGGAGGAAUCAGGAAAGGCUGGAGAGAUUGCUACCAUACCUCUAACUAAGAUCAUUAUGCAGAAGUACCAACGCUUCUCCUGGGUGGCCAACCUGAUCCAGAUCUUCAUCGCCAUCAGCAUAACGGUGUCAUUCCUCGUGAUGGGAUCGGCAAUGAAGCACACAAUCGAGGGGCUCGUAAGCUCACAGUGGGACUUCAAGACGGAGUGGCUGUCUAAAAUCAAGUGGACAAUACCGCAGUCUCUGCAGAGGCACAAUACCAAAGGUUUAUCCAGUGGCUUUGCGUGCUUCCUAGCAUUUGGAGUCAUUUUCAUCGUGUCCGCGUGUGAUCCCAAGGGAUUUGUGGUGAUGCUCGACAAGGUGGUGUCCUUCUCUCUGAAUAUGGAAGUUGGCCUGUUUAUCUUUACAAUGCUGCGGACGUCCAGAUCAGAACGCUUCAAACACCUGACCGUGCCCCUGCCCUCAGCCGAACUGCUCUUCCACCUGCACUGGCUCCUGCCCGUCUACUUCCUGUUCGCCGUGGGCUAUGACGUCAUGCAGAGCGUGUUCGAGAUCGCCUGGAGCCUAUCCCACUCCCGCCCCGGCCCCGGCCCCGGCCCCGGCCCCCAGCUGCACCCGAACCCCACCAACUCCUCAUUGCUUUAAGGGAAAACCACAGCGAUCCUCCACUCUCACACUGCAAGCCUCUCCAGAGGACCGGCGUGCACUUAGCUGAGUGGGAGACCCGUGGCACCAUCGCCGUCUUCCUCAGACUCCUCAGGGAUGAACUGAAGGCCAAAAAUAAAAGAUGAAUCACAGCGGCUCCUGACCCCCCG
rnacentral:lncRNA from 1 species